CACGUAGGGCGCGAGCGUUGUCCGGAAUUAUUGGGCGUAAAGAGCUCGUAGGCGGCCUGUUGCGUCCGCUGUGAAAGCCCGGGGCUUAACCCCGGGUCGGCAGUGGAUACGGGCAGGCUAGAGGUAGGUAGGGGAGAAUGGAAUUCCCGGUGUAGCGGUGAAAUGCGCAGAUAUCGGGAGGAACACCGGUGGCGAAGGCGGUUCUCUGGGCCUUACCUGACGCUGAGGCGCGAAAGCUAGGGGAGCGAACAGG
rnacentral:rRNA from 1 species